rnacentral:rRNA from 1 species
UGGGCGAGCCUGAUCCAGCCAUGCCGCGUGUGUGAAGAAGGCUUUCGGGUUGUAAAGCACUUUCAGUGAGGAAGAACGCCUUCGGCUUAAUACGCCGGAGGAAAGACAUCACUCACAGAAGAAGCACCGGCUAACUCCGUGCCAGCAGCCGCGGUAAUACGGAGGGUGCGAGCGUUAAUCGGAAUUACUGGGCGUAAAGCGCGCGUAGGUGGCUUGAUAAGCCGGUUGUGAAAGCCCCGGGCUCAACCUGGGAACGGCAUCCGGAACUGUCAGGCUAGAGUGCAGGAGAGGAAGGUAGAAUUCCCGGUGUAGCGGUGAAAUGCGUAGAGAUCGGGAGGAAUACCAGUGGCGAAGGCGGCCUUCUGGACUGACACUGACACUGAGGUGCGAAAGCGUGGGUAGCAAACAGGAUUAGAUACCCUGGUAGUCCACGCCGUAAACGAUGUCGACUAGCCGUUGGGGUCCUUGAGACCUUUGUGGCGCAGUUAACGCGAUAAGUCGACCGCCUGGGGAGUACGGCCGCAAGGUUAAAACUCAAAUGAAUUGACGGGGGCCCGCACAAGCGGUGGAGCAUGUGGUUUAAUUCGAUGCAACGCGAAGAACCUUACCUACCCUUGACAUCGAGAGAACUUUCCAGAGAUGGAUUGGUGCCUUCGGGAACUCUCAGACAGGUGCUGCAUGGCUGUCGUCAGCUCGUGUUGUGAAAUGUUGGGUUAAGUCCCGUAACGAGCGCAACCCUUGUCCCUAUUUGCCAGCGAUUCGGUCGGGAACUCUAGGGAGACUGCCGGUGACAAACCGGAGGAAGGUGGGGACGACGUCAAGUCAUCAUGGCCCUUA